GCAAGCCUGGUGACCACUCCCUAUCCCACUGGGGCUGCCAGACAGAGUGAAGUCUUCAGUAUUGCACAGUAGAAAAGAACCUGUGCCCACUGCAAGCCCAUCUUGGGUGAAGAGCCCCCUGCAGGAGCCACGAAGGUGGAAGUUUCAAGUCACAAGAGGUGACAGGGCCAGAGGGAGGAGAAGGCGGCCACAGCCAAUCAGGAGUCUCUGUGAUCAGAGUCCAAGAAGCUGGGCAGCAAGGAGCACGUGGGGAUGCAGGAGUCGUGAGAGAGAGAUGGAGAGAGGAGGGGACCACGGCAUAAAAUAUCAGCGGGCACCCGAGGGGAAGGACUGGGAGGAAAUUCAGCCAUGGAGACUUCUCCAACAAUUAUGCACGUUCCUGAGGCACUAAGUGGUUUUCCUGGGAGAGGCUAUCAGGAAAAGCCUGUGUCCUGGCAUCUGUAAGAGCAGGAUGAAAAAGUGCCUUUUGUUUUCCCAGUCACGGCAGCAUUAUCUGAAAUAGCAAAGACUGGAAACAACUAAAUGGCCACCAACAGGAGAGGAGAAAACAGAAGCAAGAUACAUCCAUACCGUGGGUACUGUGGAGCCAUCUGAAGGAACGAGGAGGUUCCUUAUGGACUGAUGGAGAAAGAUCUCCAAAAUAUACUGUUACAAAAAAAGGGGGCAACACGGUAAACAGUGUAUUCACAGUGUAUAGUGUAUAGGUACAGUUAGUAUAAAAAGGGUGGAGAAGGGAUUGGGAGGGAGCUCCAUGGUAUAUGCCUUAUCUACAUUUUGAACCAGGUGAGUAUUGUUUAUUUAAUGAAAAAUUAAAAUAAAAAGAACCUCCGUUUUACA
rnacentral:lncRNA from 1 species